UGUGAAAAGGAAAGUGAGGUGAGGUAGCGUGUUACAAGGUUUUACCGGUGGCUGGCAGUAGUAGAAUCCUAUAAAUACGACAACGGGGUUUUGUUUCGUUAUGUUGCCUUGUUGUGUUAUGAAAUAAUGUUACCUCCCUCUCUCUAACCUCACUUUAACUCCUUCAUUUCUUCUUUCUUUUCUAAAACCUCAAACCGCAACACAACACAACACAAUACAAGUUUCGUAUUCGUAACGUAACUUGUCUCUCCCUUCUUCCUCUCCUCUCUCCGUUUCCCGAAUUCUGCCCUCACUUCACCCAAUUCCAAUUCCCCACACCCCCAGCUAGGGGAAUUAGGGUUUCGCCGCCCCAUUCAUCGAUGCGCCACCACCACCGUCGCUAGGGUUUGCUGCGAUGGCGGAAUUGGAAGAGGAGCGGAUGGGGGAUUUCAAGCCCUUCUCGGAAGGUUCUUCGUGCUCGCGUUCGAUCAGCGAAACCGUGAACGGCUCGCACCAAUUCACGAUAAAGGGUUACUCUUUGGCCAAAGGGAUGGGUGCUGGAAAGUACAUCAUGAGCGACACUUUCACCGUUGGUGGUUACGAUUGGGCUAUUUACUUCUACCCCGAUGGGAAGAACCCUGAGGACAAUUCCAUGUACGUUUCGGUCUUUAUUGCGCUCGCUAGCGACGGAACCGAUGUUAGGGCUUUGUUCAAGUUGACGCUGGUGGAUCAGAGUGAGAAGGGGAAUGAUAAAGUUCAUAGCCAUUUCGAUCGCCCUCUCGAGAGUGGACCUUAUACCUUGAAGUAUAAAGGCAGCAUGUGGGGUUACAAACGCUUCUUCAGAAGAACACAACUGGAAACCUCAGAGUAUCUAAAAAAUGAUUGCCUUGUCAUGCAUUGCACUGUUGGUGUUGUUAAAACUCGUUUUGAGGGAUCUAAACAGGGUGUUAUUGUGCCACAGUCAGACAUGGGCCGGGAUUUUAAGGACUUGUUGGAAUCUGAGGUUGGUUGUGACAUACUUUUCAAGGUCAAAAGUGAAAGCUUCAAAGCUCAUAAGUUGAUACUUGCAGCCCGAUCUCCUGUGUUUAGAGCCCAGUUUUUUGGGCUUGUUGGGGAUCCUACCUUAGAGGAAGUAGUGGUAGAGGAUAUUGAGCCCUUUAUCUUCAAGGCAAUGCUUCUCUUUGUUUACUCUGACAAACUUCCUGGCAUAUAUGAGGUUAUGGACUCAAUGCCCUUGUGCUCAUACACCGUCAUGGUGCAGCAUCUCUUGGCUGCUGCUGAUCUCUAUAAUCUUGAUCGGCUCAAACUGCUUUGCGAAUCAAAAUUGUGUGAAGAAAUCAAUACUGACAAUGUGGCCACAACACUUGCGCUGGCAGAGCAACAUCACUGUCCACAGCUUAAGGCAAUCUGUUUAAAAUAUAUUGCAAAUCCUGCAAACUUGGGAGCUGUAAUGCAGUCAGAAGCUUUUGUGCAUUUGAAAGAGAGCUGCCCCUCAAUGCUGUUGGAAUUGCUGGAGACAUUUGCAUCAGUGGAUGAUAACUCAGGCCAGACAUUGAGCAGAAAGAGAAGUGGCAGUAGCAUAUAUGGGCAAGAUUUAGCAGACGGGGCAGCUGCUGAAUCAGUUAAUCCAAAUGGCAGGCGAGUAAGGAGGCGGACAUAAGCAUAGUUUACAAUCUGAAUCUGCAACCUUUAAAACUUAAAAGUGUGAUAUAGUUAACCCCCUAGUCCUGUCAAUAGACAAAGUAGCUGAAAAGUUUAAAUAGAGGAGGGAGAAAAAAUGACCAAGGAUAUGAUGUGAUUUCAUGCAGUGAACGCAGUUGAGAGGGAACUUAGGCCGAAGACAAGGAACCGAUAAUGCAAACACUCGUAUGCUUGCUAGGCAUAGCUAUCAAAUUCGGCUUGGUCCAUUGGCCUAUUCUUUAUAUAUUUUUUUCCUCUGAUUUUCUCUAGUUUUUUUAUUUUUAUCAACGAAUGUUAACUUGUUAAUUUUGUUAGAAAUGUAGGAGGAUUUGAAUCCGUGACUUCUCUUUUCCUUCUUUUUUCCUUCUUUCUUCAUCUUUUUUUAACUACUGGGUCAAUCUUAUAUAUCCAACCACUGAUUUUUAUCA